AAAGGUUAAUGCAGGUUGGAUGCUUUUGUCACAAAUUUGAUUUCUGGGACUGAUGACCAGGACUAGAUUCACAUUAGCUCCACUUCAGAAGUGCUGUCUCAGAGCUGCCUGAAGCUCUUGCAGGCUCUCAGCUGCCCCCAUCCAGCUCUUCCUCAGGAGCAUUCAGUGAGACAUAAUUAUUCCAGUUAUUUCUAGAAAUAUGGGGCCACUGUAACAAUAGUGCUGGCUUCAGGGUACUGGUGGGUUUAGAAUUAGAUUUUUGCUGUACUAUUUCUGAGGUGCUGACUGUGAGUUAAGGGCCAUAAAAAUGUACCCUAAAUUAAGGGUGGGUACCUCUGUUAGCCCUACUCUGCUGGAUCCUCUAGAUCCUUGGGAAUUAAUCAUCUUUCCCUUCUCAAGGCACUGGCUUGCAUAGUCUCUGGAGGAAGCCACCUUGUUUUCAAUACUGACCUAUUCCUUGCUAUGUGGCCUUUGGGCAGCUUAAGUAACAGUUUUCUCAUCAAUGAAAAGGAGAAAAUAGAAUUUACCUUACAGUGUUGCUAAGAAUAUUAAAUGAAAAUAUCUAUACUUAGAUACAUGAAUGCAAAUUCUAGGCUAAAAUACAUACAAGUAUCUUAGAACAGCAACUUUUUAAAUGUUCAGAAUAUCUUGGUAUGUCCUAAAAUCCUUGUACAUGACCAUCAUACAGGUUCUUUGAUGGAGCUGAAUCCUCCUCUCUCUGUGACUUAUUCCAGAAUCUCUGAUCUCCCAUGUCACUAACUCAACACACAUCUGAUGUUCUCUUGCCUGCAGGGCCUUGGAAUCCAUGUGCACAGAUGUCUCUGGAGCUGUGCGCUGUAAGCUGGUGUGGCCAUUUGUAGCAGCCCUGUUGCACUUCACCCUUUGGAAGAAGUACAAAAGGCGGCAGAUACUAUGGAUGUAGAAUGUGAGACUCCAGUUCUUACCCAGCUGCGUCUUUGUGACUUCAAUGUUUGCCUUGUAAGUCAUGCUGCAGUGAAUAUCUCUAUGCAAGACUUCCCUCUCCACAUCCGCAAGCGUUUUUGGAGUUUGCUGCAUUGUGCACUGGAUUUCCUUUCUUCAGGGAGUGCUGUAUUGCUGGACUCACUAGAUAUUUAGGUGAGCACCUUCCUCUUUUAAUUUCAUUUAAUCUUCAUUUCAGGAUAUGGCGUUACCAAGAUUAGACACAUUGGUUAGCCUAAGUGUGAUUCUGAUCUUGCUUUAGGAAGGAGUGGGUCCCCAAAAUUUUAGUUCAUACUCCUUGGAUAUUAUUUGUUUUCUUUGAAGGAGAAAGGCACCCAUCCUGAAAUUUGUUUUCAGUUUCCAGAAUUUAAGUGUACCUGAUUGCCUAUUUACACAGGUCUUGGAUUUUGGUAGCUGUUCAUUUUUUUUUUCAUUGAUAAAUGAUUCAACACUCACACAAACCCAUAGUCUGUGAGGUGAGCAUCAAACAAGAGCAUACAUGGUGGGAGCUGAGGCCAGUGGUUUGCCCCAAGGUGUGGGGAGCAACUCGGACUAGACUAAGUUACUGGAAUUAAGACUUAUUCUAUGCAUCUGCUCUCCCACAAUAUGGCGCUGAGAAGGGAGAAGCAACUUCUACGCAGCUGCCUCUCGCCAAUUUGAUUGACUGAGCUGCAGGAGCUGAUCCUGCUCCUGAUUGGAGGAGAGCAGCGUACUCGGCGUGUGGGUAGCAGAGUUGGGAUUGGUGGAAGAGGACUAUAAAGGAGGAGAGAGACAACAUGCACCAGGAACAUCUAAGGGGAACAUCUAGCUGAAGGAACACCUGUGCAGCCCCCGAGAGAGCCGGCCGGCGGUGUGCCGCUCCCCCGCGGAAGUGGGGAAAGUGGCCAGGGGGAACCGCCCUUCCACGGAGGUGGAAGGACGGUAGCCAACCCGGGAAGAACCAGCAGCAAACCCGGGGAGGGCCGAGCAGACGAAAGAACAGCGCAGGGUCCUGUGUCGUUCCUCCACGAAGAGGGGGAGCGACACCAAGGGACACAUAAACUGAAUUCUAUAGCUUGGUUUACCACCCCUUCUUCUAUUUCUCCUGUAUUGUGCUACAGCCAUUAUGUAAAAUUGUCUGAAAUUAUUAACCUAUACUUGGUAAAUAUAGGACUAAAUGAGUUUACCUAGUGCUGAAAAAUCUGGCGAGGCCUAACUGCAGGGAACACAUAAAUCAUCUGGAAAAGUGCCCAUAUUCCCUCUGAGGUACUGUUGUACACCAGAAAUACAUUUCAUUACGUUCUCUGAACCCUCAUUUAUUUAACAACUUUCUCCCAAUCUAAUAUCUCCUGUCUAAUGAGUGCUAAGGUAAAUAUGCUGGAGAUGCACGGAACUGCAAAAAGGCAGAUAAAUAUACAAGCUUACAUGGGGGUAAAUUAUAUAUAAGAAUUGUCCCUUCUCUACUCAUUUUAAAGUCCAUUUUUUUACCUAUUAAAUGUUGUUUGAUUUUAAGACCACCUUUUGCACAGCAGUGUUUGGAGGACUUGGUGAACAGUGGAUUUUGUUAACAAGCUUAUUCCUCUAAAAUAGUAUUUUUUCCUUCAGAAGAGUGUGCUUUGAGGAGUUGUUAUCAACAUGUAAAUUGAAAUUUCCAGAAUCUGAGGCAAAGGUGAUUAGGACUUAUAUAGAACUCAGUAAAGAAGAUGGUAAGAAUCUGUUCUAAAAGAAUUGACCUCAGUGUGCAUAUCUUUUCUCCUCUCUGCUGCUUCCUGGCUAACCACAUGGCCCCCACAUCCCUCUAUCUUCUGCCCCGUUUUUAUUUGAUAGAAGUUUAGGAAAAUGUAAAAACCAAUAUUUUUCAUUAAUGUUUAGUAAAUUAUACAAUACAUUUCCCACAUAGAUAUAAAUGAUGAACAUUUGUGUACCUACCACCUCACUUGAAGAUGCAUCACUCUUCUUUAGAAGUUGCUGCCUUCACUUCCCCUCUCCACCCCCUUCAUUCCUCUUAACUGUACCAUUGCAUUUCUGUCUUUGCCACCUACGUAGAAUUCCCUGAGUGACAUGCUUAGUUUUGUCUGGUCUGUGUUCUAUGUGUGUUUCUGUCACCAUUGUUGUUCUGAUAUCUAUCCCUAUUAAUGGACAUAGUUUAAAAUCCCUUGUUACUGCUUUGUGGUAUUCCAGAGUGUAGAUAUACAGGUUGACUAUCACUGAUCUGAAACACUUGAGAUCAGAAGUUUCAGAUUCUGUGGUCUAAAAAAUUUUGAAAUAUAUGCAUAUACAUUAUGAACUGUCUUCAGGAUGGGACCAAAAUUUAAACAUAAAAUUAAUUUGUUUCACGUGUAUCAGAUGCACAUACCCUGAAAGUAAUUUUAUACAAUAUUUUUAAUGCACCUGUGUUUGCAUUUUGAUCAUGACCUGUCACGAGAGGAAUUUUCUAUCGUGGCAUCAUGUUUUCACUUAAAAAGUUUUGGAUUUUGAAGCAUUUUCAAUUUAAUACUUCCCUAUUGAGAAUGUUCUACCUGUACCACUUCCUGUUCUGGUAGGGCUUGGAACUUUGGUGCCAAGUUUCUGGAUUUUUCUAUGAAGACCAAUGCUGUUAAGAAUACUUGGAUGUGUGUGCAAUCCUUCCUUUCCUCCCUCUCAGUCAUUUUUAUUCCUGAAAUUCAUAGGAAAUAGUGAUACCUUUUGUGGAGCCCAUGGAGUAAAACAGGAAUCUGAGUGUGUCUCUAUUUGCUCUGAUGUAAAGCAUAUCACCUUUACUUAUGUUACAUUGUUAUACAAAAAGUAGGCAAAAGGAAUUAUUUCCAAAAUUUUAAUGAGAAAUGUUAGUCUGUUUCCCUAAGUACAAUAUCUUGAUAUCAGACUUUAUAUUUGAAAUGGCUAUGUUCAAUUUAUACUGAAACCUUUUAAAUGAUGAUUUCUUUAAAUUCUUGAUGGUGACUGUACAUAAGAAAUAUUGAACAGGCAGGUGAUGCAAAGUCAACAUUCUAUGUUUCAACUCUUAAAAUUUUAUGAGAAUGACAGGAUUUAAUACUCUCAUACUGGCAAAUGCAUUAUCAAAAAUACUUCUAAUAGUGCAAAUAUAUUUCACAUCCUAGGAACAAUUCUAUAUCAAACAAUUAAAAAUAACAAUGAGGCUCUAGUUUUAAUGCACAAGGAGCUCACCGGAGAUGCUGGGAGCAUAUCAUAGCAAGCAGAGAGAAAUAUGUGGUAAAUGUCGGGAACAGUCAGAGACGUGGAACUGCCAUUGAGGACUGAACCAGCUGGACUUCAUGUGUUGGAUCCUGGGAAGAGUUUCUGGGGCACAGUUCUGUGUCCAUGAUGACAUGAUACAUUGUCCAGGUUGAGCAAUCCGUAAUGAAUGGAUUGGUAAUCCACUGUGGGCUAAAUUUGCAGUUUUCUGAUUACUGAAAGAGUUGAGCUUCUUGUAUUUUUGUUAACUUUUAUGCACAUUGUAUUUUAUAAUGCUAUAGCAAAUAUAUCUUCAGAACCAUAUUUUAUGUCUUGAUUAUAGAAUAAAACUGAUUACUCUCUUUUUUGUGUUUUUGGC
ensembl:lncRNA